UAAACAAAGCCCUUUUGUACCCAGAUACAGAGAUAGACUUGGGCAAAAAUACAAGAGGAGAAAUGAAGGAACCCCUGUCACCUUGGACCAGAGAUGCCAAGAAAUGACCAAGAACUAAAUCAGUCCCAAUCUAAACCACAACCACAUACAAUGACUCAGGGGGGUGUAUAGGGGGAGAGCACCAAAAGACCAUCAGCCGUCCCCGGCGGUCAUUACAUAACAACGCACAGCAGAGGGAGCACUUUGGAGGGUAACCCACAAACAAUCAACGUUCAUCACGUUUACUCGCUCCACAUCUCAACCCCCCCUGGGCUGGGCCCCACCGCUGCUGCUGCCCGCUCACAGGGUCGGCUCGCGGAACCAACCAACCUACCCGGAACCAACCAACCGGCGCGUUAACGAGAUGCCAACUGUGCCAAACUUGAUAAGAUGAGGAAAGAGAAAAAAAACGUCCAUGCUAGAUAUCACUGUGGUUCACAGUCCCAUGCCUCUGCACUCACUGUGUGUUACAAUCAAUUCCGGUCACUCCAUUUAGCUGGAUAUCUACAGUCACACUGUUCGUCUCACGGCCUGUCCCAUCGCUGUCCUCUACCCCUCUUUCUCCUCUUUUCAUAUCACUUCUUUCCCCCUCCAGUUCCCUCUAGUCCUGAGAUUGAAGCCCUCCUUUCUGUGUGAGUAGAUGUAUGACACACACACUUUUGUUGGUUCUAAGCUUUGUUGCCAUACCCUUUCAACAUCAUUCACAGUGGGCCUCCUCAGUAUGGAGUGGCGUAUUGGCACACUGCUACUCUGUCAGGCCUGUCAGAGCUCUCUCUCUCUCUCAGCCCUCCAUCUGACACAAUUACAUUUAGUGCUGAUGCCUGGACUGUAUAUGUAGCACUGCUAAGAGCUGAAUGGACACAAUGUUCGAGUCCAGCCAAGUCGUCUCUCCCUCUUUCUCGCUCUCCGCCUCUCUCUCUCGCUCUCUGUUUAUCUAAUAUACACAGUGACCUUCACUGACCCCCAUCUCAAAUGUAAUAAUUGAAGACCAUUAUAGCGGUCUUGGUCACACAGCACAAAAUGUGUUCUGUCAGAGUGGAGUGGGAGAGAUGGGUCUCUGAUCAAUGUGGAUUAGUUCCAAGUAUGUGUGUAUGUGGGGCAAAUGUUACCGAGUGGAGUAUCCUGGCUAAAUAAAUGACAUGAUAAUGUGUGUGUUUGAGAUAGACACUGUCUGAGAGAUCCUCCUGUGUGACCAUACUGUCGGUCAUCUUCGUAACAUAGACACUUGUGUGUCUGUCUAAGUGCCACGCCCUAUAGAGUGUUUGAGAUAGACUGCAGUGAGUUUGACAUCCUGGUCUGUCGUGGCUGGGCUGCCUGUUGACACAGAGGAUCCCGG
ensembl:lncRNA